AACGUAGGACGCAAGCGUUAUCCGGAGUUACUGGGCGUAAAGGGCAGGCAGGCGGGUCGAUAAGUCGGAUGUGAAAUCUCCCUGGCUUAACCGGGAGAGUGCAUUUGAGACUGUCAACCUGGAGGGCAGCAGAGGAGCGUGGAAUUCCGGGUGGAGUGGUGAAAUGCGUAGAGAUCCGGAGGAACACCAGAGGCGAAAGCGGCGCUCUGGGCUGCACCUGACGCUGAACUGCGAAAGCCAGGGGAGCGAACGGA
rnacentral:rRNA from 1 species